AGUGAACGCUGGCGGUAGGCCUAACACAUGCAAGUCGAACGGCAGCACAGUAAGAGCUUGCUCUUACGGGUGGCGAGUGGCGGACGGGUGAGGAAUACAUCGGAAUCUACUUUUUCGUGGGGGAUAACGUAGGGAAACUUACGCUAAUACCGCAUACGACCUACGGGUGAAAGCAGGGGAUCUUCGGACCUUGCGCGAUUGAAUGAGCCGAUGUCGGAUUAGCUAGUUGGCGGGGUAAAGGCCCACCAAGGCGACGAUCCGUAGCUGGUCUGAGAGGAUGGUCAGCCACACUGGAACUGAGACACGGUCCAGACUCCUACGGGAGGCAGCAGUGGGGAAUAUUGGACAAUGGGCGCAAUCCUGAUCCAGCCAUACCGCGUGGGUGAAGAGGGCCUUCGGGUUGUAAAGCCCUUUUGUUGGGAAAGAAAAGCAGCAGGUUAAUACCCCGCUGUUCUGACGGUACCCAAAGAAUAAGCACCGGCUAACUUCGUG
rnacentral:rRNA from 1 species